rnacentral:lncRNA from 1 species
ACAGACAGGCUGCCAGCCCUCAGCAUGGACCCGGCACAUGGAAUCUGUGAUCUUAAAAGAGUCAAGUGACUACCUUUGGCAACCAAAAGAGACACUGCCUUUUAGAAGGCAUAUCAUCUGAAACUGGCUGAAAGAGCUGUCUUACUUAGGAAGAAAAAUCUCUCCUUUGGAAAGAGCUGGAACUUUUAGUAAAACUGAACAGUGAGGUGGCGGAAGAUAAAUAUGCUGAGGCAUGUUUUCAAGGAGGGGAGAGAGAUUCCUUUUCCUCAGCCGGGCACAGAGCCAACCUGAAGUGUAGCACUGUGGUGACCUGGCGGGAUCUGCUCUCCAGUCACUCCCGAGGGCCCUUCUGGGGACAAGGAGACUUUUCUGUGCGGCCUGUUGAUUUGAGAUCGAGGCUAUCAAGCUACAGAUGAUCUUACAAAUGGAACCCCAAAUGAGCUCAACUAACAACUACCAAGGACCCCUGGACCAACCCGCUGGCCCUUUCAAUGGCCUAAAGAGUUCCCCUCUGGAGGACACUACAACUGCAGGGUCCUUUCUUUGC